rnacentral:rRNA from 1 species
GAUGCUAAUACCGCAUAACAACUUGGACCGCAUGGUCCGAGCUUGAAAGAUGGCUUCGGCUAUCACUUUUGGAUGGUCCCGCGGCGUAUUAGCUAGAUGGUGGGGUAACGGCUCACCAUGGCAGUGAUACGUAGCCGACCUGAGAGGGUAAUCGGCCACAUUGGGACUGAGACACGGCCCAAACUCCUACGGGAGGCAGCAGUAGGGAAUCUUCCACAAUGGACGAAAGUCUGAUGGAGCAACGCCGCGUGAGUGAAGAAGGGUUUCGGCUCGUAAAACUCUGUUGUUAAAGAAGAACAUAUCUGAGAGUAACUGUUCAGGUAUUGACGGUAUUUAACCAGAAAGCCACGGCUAACUACGUGCCAGCAGCCGCGGUAAUACGUAGGUGGCAAGCGUUGUCCGGAUUUAUUGGGCGUAAAGCGAGCGCAGGCGGUUUUUUAAGUCUGAUGUGAAAAGCCUUCGGCUCACCCGAAGGAAGUGCAUCGGAAAACUGGGGAAAACUUGAGUGCAAAAGAGGACAGUGGAACUCCAUGGUGUAGCGG